AAACAACCGAUGACGGAGACAAGUAGCUGGGAUGCACAUGGACAGAGAGGAAAGGCCUUAGGCUGAAAGCCUUUCCCCAUGAUCGCUUAGUGAAGAACACUCCGGAGGUUUUCCUCUGAAAGGUGUAAAAGUAGGAGGAAACGUAAAUAGGCGUUAACUUUUAAGUGGAAGCAUUGCUUCAAUUAGGGUGGCACCACGGGAGACUCUCCCGUCCCUACG
rnacentral:ncRNA from 1 species